UUAACAUGUCACACUAUACGAUCACAGAGCCAGGAAAUCGGGCCUUGUCUCGUCGGAAGACUGGCCACACUACAAGAUUCGAGGGUGCGAUGCUCUCUACUUUGUAUCAUUCACGUUUGCAAGAUAUUUAGAAGGUUUAGAACUGACAUAAAUGUGUUUUACUUUUUUGUCAUAAAGGUUCCAGUUUUAUAUCUGCUCAAUGCAGCAACUCGUCCUAGCUGCGUUGCGCGUGACGAGCGAUACAAACUAAGUACCCGCAGCAGCAACGUAGCCUAGCAACAGAGCGUCAACAAUGGAUCCCGAGUGCCUAGCCUAGCACUAGGAAUUAUGCUGGCGGUUUGAGGUUUAUGAUAGGUUAUGAUAGCUAUUAGCACGUCAACAGCUGUUGGCUCCAAACUUACCAGGUAGGUCAAGGGCGUCGGCUAUUUCUUGCCUUGUCGAAAAUACAGGGACGUUGCUUCCGCAUUUCAACCAAAGUUGUCUCCAUUAUGUUGUUCCAUUUUCUCUCGUUUUCUUUAUGAGCGUUCUUCUUCUUGCUAUUGAUCGUAUUAAUUUUUGUAGUAGUUACUGUGUACUCAGCGUGGUGCAGUGGAGUCAGUUGGUAAACACUGCGCGUGAGCUCCAGCUGUUCGUGGGGUUCCUUCACGCAACUGGGGGCGGGGUUCCCUCAUGUCAACAAUGUAUACGUCAUGCGAUUCCCCAAAAAAUUCUGACAUGCCAAACUUUUCGUCGUGGGGUUUUCGAACGUCGCAGACGAAAACAUCGCAGAUCGCACGCAUGUCACAUUACAAGACCUCGUCUCGUCGCUGACCUUUCAAAAUCGUGUACGACUCGUAAAUUUGUCUGCGACGAACGAAUCGGGGCAAAAUCAAUCCGUUUCUCUGCAUCAUCAAUAAUUUAUAUAAACAACAUUCUCAGCCCUCACAUCGCUCACAUGAUACAUCGUGGACACGCUCUCAGUUCCGAGCAAAUUAUUUGUAUUGGACUUCGUUUUUUUGCCAACGGCAAUUUUUUGUAUAACGUCGGUGAUGCCGAGCAUGUGUCCAAGGCAACUGUCUGUCGGGCUGUCCGAAAUGUGACACUUGCACUGAAACGGCUACUAUGCACGUUUGUAGCGUUCCCAAGUCACAUACCCACCAGUCUUCUCAAAGAAGAGUUUCACAGAAUUGCAGGUAUCGGUCUACGCAGUAAUUCAUUUAUGUCAUAAAGCUUUGAGACUUGAAGCACUAAUCAGUCAAUUUGAUAUAUUUUAGGGUUUCCAGGUGUGAUUGGCUGCAUAGAUGGCACUCACAUUCCUAUCAUAGCUCCUUCAAUAAAUGAAGGAGAUUAUGUGAAUAGGAGAUCUGUCCACAGCAUUAAUGUACAGGUAGGCCUAAAUAGUAGCCUUUAACAUUCCAAAUUAAAUAUACUUCACUAUACAGCUAAUUACUGUUCUCCACUGUGAAGAUCAUAUGUGAUGGAGCCCACAUGAUUAACAAUGUGGAAGCGAAGUGGCCUGGGUCUGUGCAUGACUCACGAAUGUUUCGUGAGUCUACAGUGAGUGCCAGAUUUGCCCAUGGAGAGUUCGAUGGUUACCUACUCGGAGACAGAGGGUACCCCUGCCAGCGCUAUCUGCUGACCCCUUACCCUGACCCUGACCCUGGCCCACAGCAACACUACAACUUGGCUCACUGCAGGACAUGAGCCAGAGUGGAGAUGACCAUCGGGAUACUCAAGUCCCGGUUCCGGUGCCUUCGUAGGCUCAGAGUCACCCCAGAGAGAGCUUGUAGCAUUAUAGUGGCAUGUGUGGUUCUCCACAACAUUGCCACUAUUAGAGGAGAACAAUGUCCUGUAUACUCUUUCCCCCUGUGAUCCAGGUAUUAAUCCUACCCCCCCCCCUGCUGAUGCACGAGAUGGAAGAGCUGUUAGAGACAUGAUAUGCGUCAAUCAUUUCUAACUGACCCAUCACCUCCCCAAUGUUAAAUGUUACAAUAUGCAUCUCAUUUUAUGAGGUCUUCUUUAUUUCCUAGAAGGACAAAUUUUGUACAGUUGUUAAUCCUUUGUUGUUGAAACAAUUAAAAAUCAUCCACCUGUGGGCACGUCACCCACCUUUAA